UCUGGGAAACUGCCUGAUGGAGGGGGAUAACUACUGGAAACGGUGGCUAAUACCGCAUAACGUCGCAAGACCAAAGAGGGGGACCUUCGGGCCUCUUGCCAUCAGAUGUGCCCAGAUGGGAUUAGCUUGUUGGUGAGGUAACGGCUCACCAAGGCGACGAUCCCUAGCUGGUCUGAGAGGAUGACCAGCCACACUGGAACUGAGACACGGUCCAGACUCCUACGGGAGGCAGCAGUGGGGAAUAUUGCACAAUGGGCGCAAGCCUGAUGCAGCCAUGCCGCGUGUAUGAAGAAGGCCUUCGGGUUGUAAAGUACUUUCAGCGGGGAGGAAGGUGUUGUGGUUAAUAACCGCAGCAAUUGACGUUACCCGCAGAAGAAGCACCGGCUAACUCCGUGCCAGCAGCCGCGGUAAUACGGAGGGUGCAAGCGUUAAUCGGAAUUACUGGGCGUAAAGCGCACGCAGGCGGUCUGUCAAGUCGGAUGUGAAAUCCCCGGGCUCAACCUGGGAACUGCAUUCGAAACUGGCAGGCUUGAGUCUUGUAGAGGGGGGUAGAAUUCCAGGUGUAGCGGUGAAAUGCGUAGAGAUCUGGAGGAAUACCGGUGGCGAAGGCGGCCCCCUGGACAAAGACUGACGCUCAGGUGCGAAAGCGUGGGGAGCAAACAGGAUUAGAUACCCUGGUAGUCCACGCCGUAAACGAUGUCUACUUGGAGGUUGUGCCCUUGAGGCGUGGCUUCCGGAGCUAACGCGUUAAGUAGACCGCCUGGGGAGUACGGCCGCAAGGUUAAAACUCAAAUGAAUUGACGGGGGCCCGCACAAGCGGUGGAGCAUGUGGUUUAAUUCGAUGCAACGCGAAGAACCUUACCUGGUCUUGACAUCCACGGAAGUUUUCAGAGAUGAGAAUGUGCCUUCGGGAACCGUGAGACAGGUGCUGCAUGGCUGUCGUCAGCUCGUGUUGUGAAAUGUUGGGUUAAGUCCCGCAACGAGCGCAACCCUUAUCCUUUGUUGCCAGCGGUCCGGCCGGGAACUCAAAGGAGACUGCCAGUGAUAAACUGGAGGAAGGUGGGGAUGACGUCAAGUCAUCAUGGCCCUUACGACCAGGGCUACACACGUGCUACAAUGGCGCAUACAAAGAGAAGCGACCUCGCGAGAGCAAGCGGACCUCAUAAAGUGCGUCGUAGUCCGGAUUGGAGUCUGCAACUCGACUCCAUGAAGUCGGAAUCGCUAGUAAUCGUGGAUCAGAAUGCCACGGUGAAUACGUUCCCGGGCCUUGUACACACCGCCCGUCACACCAUGGGAGUGGGUUGCAAAAGAAGUAGGUAGCUUAACCUUCGGGAGGGCGCUUACCACUUUGUGAUUCAUGACUGGGGUGAAGUCGUAACAAGGUAACCGUAGGGGAACCUGC
rnacentral:rRNA from 1 species